rnacentral:rRNA from 1 species
UGAUAUUACCUUAUUAUUAGUGUCGUCCAAAACUGGUGCCAGAAGACUCGGUAAGGCCAGAGACACAAACGUUAAUCGUCUUAAUCAGGCGUAAAGGGUUUGUAGGCGGCUUUAAAAUUUACUUAUACAAAUAAAUAAAUAAUAAGUAAAAAAUAAAAGCUAGAAUCAAAUAGAGGAUAUAUGAAAUAACGCUUAGAGUAGGUCUGAUAUCCUUAGAUACUAAGUAGAAUAUUAAAGGCGAAAGCUUUUUUCCAUUAAUGAUUGACGCUCAGAAACGAAGGUGAGGAUAGGAAAUAGGAUUUGAUACCCAGAAUACCCCUCUCUGUCAACGAUGAAUGGUAGUUAUUAGUAAAAAUUUAUUAAUGGCAAUGUUAACACGAUAACCAUUCCGCCUUGUGAGUACAACUGCAAAGUUGAAAACAAAAAAA